CAAGUCGAACGAGAAACUUGGGCAACUGGGUGAGUAAAGUGGCGCACGGGUGAGUAACGCGUGGGUAACCUACCCUUGAAUUGGGGAUAACUCCGCGAAAGCGGGGCUAAUACCGAAUAAUGUUUCGAGGUCUUCGGGCCUUGAAAACAAAGAUGGCCUCUGCAUGCAAGCUAUCGUUUAAGGAUGGGCCCGCGUACCAUUAGCUUGUUGGUGGGGUAAUGGCCCACCAAGGCUACGAUGGUUAGCUGGUCUGAGAGGAUGAUCAGCCACACUGGAACUGAGACACGGUCCAGACUCCUACGGGAGGCAGCAGUGGGGAAUCUUGCGCAAUGGGGGAAACCCUGACGCAGCAACGCCGCGUGGGUGAUGAAGGCCUUCGGGUCGUAAAGCCCUGUCAGGUGGGAAGAACCUUGUUGAUGCCAAUACCAUCAACACUUGACGGUACCACCGGAGGAAGCACCGGCUAACUCCGUGCCAGCAGCCGCGGU
rnacentral:rRNA from 1 species